AAAAUCUCCAUGAGUGCUAAUGGCAUAAUGAAUGGGAAGAAACAAUAUAAAAAAAUGAAUACAGUGUUUUUAGUGAAUAUGCCAAUAAUCUACAGAGUCUGUUGUCAUAUCUGGUCUCCCAGUGAAGCCUCCGAAGACAGAGGCACUGGUCUGUCUGUUGGCACGAUGUUUUGAUGAAAGAAAAAGAAACAAAAGAAAGCAACUUUUUUUUUAACCAAGUUUGUAUUAGAAUUUUAUAGCUGCAACAAAAUGCAGAGCACUGAAGUCUAAGUGAAACUUAAGCAGCAAACUGGUACAUUGAAAGUGGCAUCAGUAUUAAAUUCAUCUUCCCUUUAAUGAUCUGGGUUUCAGAUAUUGCUUCCAGGACACAUGCUGAAGACCCCUAACCCUUGUGCAAAUCCUGAAGAUGCAUCCUUGGAAGCAUGCACUUUUUCUGUGAUAGAAAGGGAAAAUGCAGCCUUCUGCUUUACUGGAGUUUGCAAGGACACAGUAUAUUUGCUUAAGAGGGAACUCUACUGGCUACUUUUUGGAAGUUUCUUGCUCCUUCUGCCUGAAAAAGCGGAGGGCAACACUUUUUGGUUUUAUGGUGAUGAGAACAAGCCAUUACAACUGGACCAGACUGUGACAGGAAAGUGUUCUUGUUGUAUCAAAGGCAGCAAGCAGGCUGCCAAAAAAAGAAAAGUCAACAAAGCUGUUCAGAUUACU
rnacentral:lncRNA from 1 species